rnacentral:piRNA from 1 species
GGGUUGGGGAGGUGGCUCAGCCAUUAGG